AACGAACGCUGGCGGCAUGCCUAACACAUGCCAGUCGAACGAGACCUUCGGGUCUAGUGGCGCACGGGUGCGUAACGCGUGGGAACCUGCCCUUAGGUUCGGAAUAACUCCCCGAAAGGGGUGCUAAUACCGGAUAAUGUCUUCGGACCAAAGAUUUAUCGCCUUUGGAUGGGCCCGCGUUGGAUUAGCUAGUUGGGAGGGUAAAAGCCUACCAAGGCGACGAUCCAUAGCUGGUCUGAGAGGAUGAUCAGCCACACUGGGACUGAGACACGGCCCAGACUCCUACGGGAGGCAGCAGUGGGGAAUAUUGGACAAUGGGCGAAAGCCUGAUCCAGCAAUGCCGCGUGAGUGAUGAAGGCCUUAGGGUUGUAAAGCUCUUUUACCCGGGAUGAUAAUGACAGUACCGGGAGAAUAAGCUCCGGCUAACUCCGUG
rnacentral:rRNA from 1 species